AUGCAUCUCACUUUAUGUGCAAAUUUAGAUUCAUACUUCAUUGUAUACAAACUAUGUCAUUAAUAUGGUCAAAAUAUAUCAACUAUGUUGUUUUGUUAUUCUGCUAAUAUAUUAUUUUACACUUUAAAUUAUCCAACACAUAAAUUUUGAGGAAUUCUUAAAUUGUCUAUGCACAAAAGGGAGAUGGCAUCCAAAUUGAAGACUAGCACACGAUAACAGCCUCAUUUACGGCAACUUUUCUCCGACCGUUUUCUGGUAGAUUUAUUUUUUAGUAUUUUAGAAAUGUAAAUAUGAUUACGCUGGUAAGAAGAUACAGGACAGUUAAACAACCUCUACACCUGGUCUCACUUUAGUACUGUAACAUAAAUUCUAAAUUAUUCUGAUGGUGCGAAAAUUCCAAAAUGAGAUGUCGCUUCUGACACCCAAUCUACGGGUAGAUGUUACCUUAUGUCAGCAUUUCGGCAUCAGAUUCGAAGCAAAGACAUUUAUGUGUUAAAUAGAUACUAACUGUGAUGAUGUAGGUGUAUUUUCCAUGCUAUUGACACCUAUCACCAAUAGACCCCGGGAUGAUACACCUUAUUCAUUAAAUGUCGAAAUAAGAAUUUUUGGAUAUGAACAUGAUCCUUUGUGACAAAUUAAGAUGUUUGACUAUGUAGAUGUCGAAAAGUCGAGAAACAUCUGUCCAAGACGUAUGUAUUUGGAGCUUGAAUAAGGUGUGAGUUUAAGUUUCGGAAGAGGGCCGACCUCUUAACCCUAACAAGGUGCGCGGAAUAACUAAUAAGUUUCACUAAUGUAGUUCAGGUAUCUUCUUUUCUUACUGAAACCAUACAUCAAUGUUAUGAGCGGUAAGGACCCCCUACCUACAGCGAAGAAUCCAACGUUGUAUAACAUUUAAAACCAAAACUGGAGCAUUCAGGAAGGCGUUUGGAUUACUUCGGGUAGUGUCUUACAUCUGCCGGAAAGUUCACCCAGCGGAACAAAAGGCCACCAUCUUUAUUGUUCUGAUUUGCGAGGCGUUUGAUCAUAUCUGGAUUUUUACACCUUUCAGAGUUUUGUUCGACAGUGUUAUUUAAAUUCGUAAUUAUGACACAUGUUAUUGUAAUUGCGCUCAAAGUGCCGUGUAUUGUUAACCGAAAAAUCAAUUCAAAGCAUGUAUUUAUCAUUUAUGGAUUUCCUUCUCAUUAUCUUGAUUUCAUUGUCCGAAAGAAUGAAAUUCAAAGAAUAAAUAUUUUUUAAACACUUG
rnacentral:sRNA from 1 species